GGGAAUCUACCCAACCCUACGGAAUAACGCAUGGAAACGUGUGCUAAUACCGUAUACGCCCUUCGGGGGAAAGAUUUAUCGGGGAUGGAUGAGCCCGCGUUGGGUUAGCUAGUUGGUGGGGUAAAGGCCUACCAAGGCGACGAUCCAUAGCUGGUCUGAGAGGAUGAUCAGCCACAUUGGGACUGAGACACGGCCCAAACUCCUACGGGAGGCAGCAGUGGGGAAUAUUGGACAAUGGGCGCAAGCCUGAUCCAGCCAUGCCGCGUGAGUGAUGAAGGCCCUAGGGUUGUAAAGCUCUUUCACCGGUGAAGAUAAUGACGGUAACCGGAGAAGAAGCCCCGGCUAACUUCGUGCCAGCAGCCGCGGUAAUACGAAGGGGGCUAGCGUUGUUCGGAAUUACUGGGCGUAAAGCGCACGUAGGCGGAUAUUUAAGUCAGGGGUGAAAUCCCGGGGCUCAACCCCGGAACUGCCUUUGAUACUGGGUAUCUAGAGUCCAGAAGAGGUGAGUGGAAUUCCGAGU
rnacentral:rRNA from 1 species